rnacentral:rRNA from 1 species
AUUGAACGCUGGCGGCAUGCUUUACACAUGCAAGUCGAACGGUAACAGGUUAAGCUGACGAGUGGCGAACGGGUGAGUAAUGCAUCGGAACGUGCCCGGUCGUGGGGGAUAACGCAGCGAAAGUUGCGCUAAUACCGCAUACGAUCUGAGGAUGAAAGCGGGGGACCGUAAGGCCUCGCGCGAUCGGAGCGGCCGAUGUCAGAUUAGGUAGUUGGUGGGGUAAAGGCUCACCAAGCCAACGAUCUGUGGCUGGUCUGAGAGGACGACCAGCCACACUGGGACGGAGACACGGCCCAGACUCCUACGGGAGGCAGCAGUGGGGGAUUUUGGACAAUGGGCGAAAGCCUGAUCCAGCAAUACCGCGUGCAGGAAGAAGGCCUUCGGGUUGUAAACUGCUUUUGUACGGAGCGAAAAGGUCUCCUCUAAUACAGGGGGCUCAUGACGGUACCGUAAGAAUAAGCACCGGCUAACUACGUGCCAGCAGCCGCGGUAA